rnacentral:lncRNA from 1 species
AUAAGAAAGUGACAAAUAGAAAAAAGUGACACAAACUCAAAAAAUGUGACAAACUCUCAAAAAGUGACGAAAUUCAAAAAAUGACAAACACUUGUUGGAUAAUUAGUAUCUAUUUUACUCUGUUAAGACUUUUGGUAGAAGUUUAGAAAUAACAACAGUAGUCUAUUUGUUUGAUCUAAGAUGAGAUAAAGGUAAAAUUAUUCAAUUUCACACAUCGAUAGCAUUCAUGUAUUCAAUAUAGUAAUGAUCGAUCUCAUAUGUAAAUAAUCACAUGAUCAAUGUAUAUAUAAUCAAUUUUUAGACAGAAAAAUUGCUUGAAUGCAUAAAUGGAGUUUUAUGAGUGAGAUGAUGUUAACCUUAGCUCCAGUGACGGCAAAUUCAUGCUUCACCCGUUUUUCCACCACAGGUGCAAAAUUUCUAGCAAUUUGAACACACAGGUCAGCAGUCUUCGGGAGUGGAUGUAAUAACUCAAGUGACACCAAGGCAGUUUCCUUCACAUCUAAACCUUCACCGCGCUUACUAUAUUAUAUUCUACUGUGGCUCCGACGAAGCCGACGAGUGAGUUGUUUUCUUCUUCAUCGGUGUAAUUACAUUGUUUGCAAGGGUUGUUUUGGGAAAGUAAGCACAGAGGGAGAGUUCAAAGCAUAGUGAAUCCUCUCUCUUCUGGAAUGCGAAUUGGGGAUCUAAUUUG